UGAGUCGGCUGGAUGGUCGCGGCUCGGCAACGACCGGGUCGAGGAAGGUCGGGGCUCCGUAGGGCAGGGUGCUCGCUAGCGGCGAGUCAGGGUGACCUGCAGGAAAGUGCCACAGAGAACAGACCGCCGAUGGCCGGCCGCAGGGUCGGCACAGGUAAGGGUGAAACGGUGCGGUAAGAGCGCACCAGCGCCCGGGGUGACCCGGGCGGCUCGGCAAACCCCACCCGGAGCAAGGCCAAAGCGGGGACGACCGGCCCGGUCCAUGUCCCCAGGUAGGCCGCACAGAUGGAUGACCAUCCAUCCGGAUCCCCGCAAGGGCCCGGUGGACAGAACCCCGCCUACAGGCCGACUCACCGU
rnacentral:RNase_P_RNA from 1 species